GGGGUGUGGCCUGACCAUCAACAAGAGCAGUCGCAUGUCUGCAAUGCUCCAGACUGAAAUCGGCAAAAACAAUGAAACUAACCCAAAACCUGAAGUGCCCCAUCAGCAACUCGGCUCCUAACCCACAUCACGCCAUGGGGAAACUAGCAUAAAACCUACUCUGACAACGGCACACGGAAGAUAGGAGACAUAUUUCUGGCAUGGAUUAAACACAAAAUGGUGGCUCUCAAGGCCUAACAUAGGAUGAGGACCCGCUGGACUCCCCUGGCGCCAUACCAGAGGCAGAUGAUCCAUUCACGGCGGGGCAAUUGGAGGAUGUCCUGCAACAAAAGGAGACAUCGUGAGCCUUUUGAAACAUCUGCGCACAUGGUUAGGCACAGACAUAGAGGUGCUCUGUGAGGAGGUUACAGCCAUAACAGACAGGGUGAAGGCCACAGAGGAGGAUGUCUCCUCCAUAGCACAACGGAACACACACCAACAUAAAAGUCAGAGGUGUCGCUGAAAUGGUAACGGACACUGAGCUACCCCACUUCAUCUGGCGCCUAUUGUCAGCGAUAUUGCUCACCAAGGCAGGCGAAAACCAUACAAGUGGACAGACCACACAGGCUCCCCGGGUCUCCUAGGGCACCGCCAGCCACACACCGCGAUGUCCUCCUUUGAUUCCAGUCCCCCUGGGACAAACAAGCAUUAAUGGAUGCACUCAAGAACAAAUGCCCAUUCCCAUUCGAAGAAUCACAACUCACCUUUCUGCAGGAUCUCUGCAGGGCAACAUUGGAAUGGAGGCGCUCCGUCAGCCGGGUCACCAGGACCCUCCGCGAAGCUGGCAUCCAUUACAGAUGGGGCCCAUCACACACACUCAUAGCCACCCAGGGAGAGACCACCCGCCAACUCACAUCAGCGACAGACUCUGACUCUUUUCUCCACAGCCUGGGGCUGGACAGACCCAAAACAUACACUUCCACCCCUGGGACAUACCUAAUAUAAUCCCCUUCGUAGCUCGCUCAGAGCCAGAUACUGGCUGAAACACCACUAGUGGAGUUGGUUAACGUAACCCCCCAGCGGAGAAGUGUGCCGAGGGACUAGAAUUCCAAUUAUAGUCCAAUUUUAGCCUAGUUAUAUUAUUAGUUUACAUUAUGCAUAUUUAGCCAAGUUUUACUGCUUCUAUAAUUUGCUGCGGUUCUUACACCAGUCCGUAAUGGAGAGUCAGACCGAACAAAUCCCCCCCCCCCCGAUGCUCAGGGGUCAAUGAGCAGUUCCCCUGUUCCUCCCACAUGGUAACACUAAGCCAGACACCGGCUACCAGCAUUGCACCUCUCUCAAGUACUACCACUUGUUUUAAUUUACCACACUAAUUAUUAGCCUACCCACUGAAAUCCCUAUAAAACAGCUAUACCACGUCUGUUAUUAGAUUAUCCCUUAAAUUAGCAGGUCGUUUAUAUAAGAAGUGCAAGCCCAUCUUAGAUCCUGCUAAUUAACUAACAUGUGAGGCAUUGAUUAGCUUGUUUAUUUGUGUUAUAAAAAAUGUGCAAUUAUCUCAUGCCAUGGCACUGCCUUUUCCUGUCAUUUACUGCCGUGCUUGUCAACGCUGUCGUGGCGCCACAAACCUGUGUUUUCUC